rnacentral:rRNA from 1 species
GAUUAUGGCUCAGGAUGAACGCUAGCUACAGGCUUAACACAUGCAAGUCGAGGGGCAGCAUAACGAAAGCUUGCCUUGUUGAUGGCGACCGGCGCACGGGUGAGUAACGCGUAUCCAACCUUCCCCUUAGUAGGGCAUAGCCCGGCGAAAGUCGGAUUAAUACCCUAUGUUUUCCGUUGAGGACAUCUGAAGUGGAAUAAAGAUUUAUCGCUAAGGGAUGGGGAUGCGUCUGAUUAGGUUGUUGGCGGGGUAACGGCCCACCAAGCCAUCGAUCAGUAGGGUUCUGAGAGGAAGGUCCCCCACAUUGGUACUGAGACACGGACCAAACUCCUACGGGAGGCAGCAGUGAGGAAUAUUGGUCAAUGGGCGAGAGCCUGAACCAGCCAAGUAGCGUGCAGGGUGACGGCCCUAUGGGUUGUAAACUGCUUUUGCAUGGGAAUAAAGUGAGGGACGUGUCCCUUUUUGUAUGUACCAUGAGAAUAAGGACCGGCUAAUUCCGUGCCAGCCGCCGC